CUGAUGCUGAUCAUAAGUUGGAGGGAAUCUUGAGAGAAACUAUGGCAGAAACGAGCUCAAUGGCACCCACGACAGCGCAUUCCAAAAAAAGCAUAUGGAUCAUAGGGGACAGUUAUGUCCGAAGGGGAGAGGAGAGAGCCAGGGACACCAUCGGCUGCAAUCUCGGGCUGGACGCUUCAGUCCACUGGUUUGGCUGGGGUGGCCUGAGGUGGCAUCGGCUUAUCCCCUUUUUCCAUCAAGCCUUGCA